GAUUUGGUGGGGUAAAGGCCUACCAAGGCGACGAUCAGUAGCGGGUCUGAGAGGAUGAUCCGUCACACUGGAACUGAGACACGGUCCAGACUCCUACGGGAGGCAGCAGUGGGGAAUUUUGGACAAUGGGGGCAACCCUGAUCCAGCCAUUCCGCGUGAGUGAAGAAGGCCUUCGGGUUGUAAAGCUCUUUCAGCCGGAACGAAACGGUAUUCCUUAAUACGGGAUGCUAAUGACGGUACCGGCAGAAGAAGCACCGGCUAACUACGUGCCAGCAGCCGCGGUAAUACGUAGGGUGCGAGCGUUAAUCGGAAUUACUGGGCGUAAAGCGUGCGCAGGCGGAUUGUUAAGCAAGAUGUGAAAUCCCCGGGCUUAACCUGGGAAUGGCAUUUUGAACUGGCAGUCUAGAGUGUGUCAGAGGGGGGUGGAAUUCCACGUGUAGCAGUGAAAUGCGUAGAUAUGUGGAGGAACACCAAUGGCGAAGGCAGCCCCCUGGGAUAACACUGACGCUCAUGUACGAAAGCGUGGGUAGCAAGCAGGAUUAGAUACCCUGGUAGUCCACGCCCUAAACGAUGUCAACUGGUUGUUGGGGGAGUGAAAUCCCUUAGUAACGAAGCUAACGCGUGAAGUUGACCGCCUGGGGAGUACGGUCGCAAGAUUAAAACUCAAAGGAAUUGACGGGGACCCGCACAAGCGGUGGAUGAUGUGGAUUAAUUCGAUGCAACGCGAAAAACCUUACCUACCCUUGACAUGUCCAGAAUCCUGCAGAGAUGCGGGAGUGCCCGAAAGGGAAUUGGAACACAGGUGCUGCAUGGCUGUCGUCAGCUCGUGUCGUGAGAUGUUGGGUUAAGUCCCGCAACGAGCGCAACCCUUAUCAUUAGUUGCUACGCAAGGGCACUCUAAUGAGACUGCCGGUGACAAACCGGAGGAAGGUGGGGAUGACGUCAAGUCCUCAUGGCCCUUAUGGGUAGGGCUUCACACGUCAUACAAUGGUCGGUACAGAGGGUUGCCAAGCCGCGAGGUGGAGCCAAUCCCAGAAAGCCGAUCGUAGUCCGGAUUGUUCUCUGCAACUCGAGAGCAUGAAGUCGGAAUCGCUAGUAAUCGCGGAUCAGAAUGUCGCGGUGAAUACGUUCCCGGGUCUUGUACACACCGCCCGUCACACCAUGGGAGUGGAAUCUGCCAGAAGUAGGUAGCCUAACCGCAAGGAGGGCGCUUACCACGGUGGGUUUCAUGACUGGGGUGAAGUCGUAACAAGGUA
rnacentral:rRNA from 1 species